CUGAGAGAUUAUUGACCACGCCGGAGCACGAUCAACCUGACCACGAGGGUCUGUUUCCUGCGGGCAAACGAAGAACAAGCAAGAAACUGAGAUUGCAAUCUGGAUAUUGCGAAUAUAAGAUGAAAGCUUUAUUGAUCAAGGUGGGGUUCUGUGACGCCUUUGUCUGGUCGUUGAACACAAACGAAGUACGCGAAGUUGCAGCUAUGGUGAACUUUAAUCUAAACAAAACCCAAAGUCUAAACGGUGCCCUAAGGGUUGUAUAUAUGGAGGAAGAGAGGGGGAAUUUCGUGGCCCUUGGUGGAAGGGUCCGAAAUCAACCCUAUCUCUUGUUUCCCCACACAUACGGACUCUAAAAAUAGCCUAUACUAAUGUAUUUCGAAAUUACAUGGGCCUGGCCCAAUAAAAAGGUGACGCAACACCUAUAAUAGCCUGUGGACGAAAUUUAUGAAGUGGCAUCUUGUAUAUUUUGUCCAUGGCUUCAUGCACUCGUUAUGGUGGCUUCAAAGACCUGAAAUCAUCACUCGUAACUCCAUUCUUGUUCCCCUUGCGCAUGCCAUAUUCUCCAUGCUUUCUCUUGCUCCAAUGUUCAUCCUUCUCCAAGCUAGGCCCUUCAUUUGUAAGCAAAACAAAUGUAUCCAAUUUAGGCAGCAUCAUAUUCUCAUGAACAUUAGAAUCAUUACCAAGAACCGAAAGUACCUGGUAAUUUAGUUGGAGUGCGCGAGCUCUAGUAAUUGAUCCAGUAUGUAUAGCAGCAGGGGUUGUGGGUGUAACAAUGGUAUUGAUGUCCUCAUCAACAUAAAUCAAGUAUUUUCUACAGUUUGACAGUCAUGUGUGUCAUCAUGAAGUAAGAAUUCUUUCGUUCAUUCUUUAUCCUGAAGCAGGUCUCAAACUAAUAAACUAUAUGUUUUUUCAUAGUUUAGAACCCACCAAAAUAGAAUAAAAGAAACACAUGAAUAGUAGGUUGUAAAUUUGGUUAUAACAAACCAAAAACAACAGGCACUAAAUAAACAAACAAAAUAUUGGACCACUUGGGGUUUUUGUCACAAAAUUAUACCAAGGUUGAACGGAGAUUUCAGUUCAGGGUGAGUCCCAUGAGAACCUUUUCAUACUCUGUUGGCUUUCUUCUAAAUCCAUGACCAACAAAGGUGGAUUUGGUUACCAUUCCCUUCAACUGCUUCGGAAGGAAAAAAUUAUUAGCUAAACUAUUCGGCUCAGUGCAGAAGAAAUACUAUAUAUACUCUGUGCUAACGUUGACUGAUAGUUCAUAAAAGCAACUUCAGACUGAAAAUCGUGACCACCGUCUCGCUCCUUGCUUGCCCACCAUCGUUGUUGAUGCGGUUGUUGAAGCUUGCACAUCCAGCACCGAUGCACGCUUGAUGGGGGAUGCAGGCCGCUAGUGCUGGUUGUGGAGGGAGAGUAGACGUGUGCAACACAUGAGAACAGAGAUGAAUGUUUGGAGAGGGAAAAAUCGAGAGAGUGAGAGAUUGGGAAAGGGAUCUCGCCGCCUCCAGCUCGAACUCGCUGAUGAGCGGUCCUUCGCCUCGAGCACCUUCAUCCCGUCUCUCCAUUUUCUGACCUUCCUUGUCUCCGCCUCGAGCUUGAGCUCCAAUCUGCCGCCACCAGAUCCGACCCUGUCACCCCCUCCUUCCUUGCCUGCCCCUCGAGCUCACCCUCUCCUUCUCCGCCACCUGGGUCAGUGGGCCCAGAGGGGAAGGCUCAGCGAGAGCACGGGGAUGUCUCGGUCGGGGUGGUGGUGGCAGCGAGAGAAAGCACGACGACGAUGCAACAAGCAUCUCGGCAUCCCGUGCUUCACUUGUGCCGAGGACGAUGGUGACGGUGCCAGGCGUCUUGUGCAUUUGUCUCCUUGAGAUGGAGGAGGUGGAGCUCGAGCUGGUCGCGUUGUGGAGGGAGAGGCGGCGUAGUAGCUGGAGCAUAGGAGGGAUGAGGAGAGGCGAGGGACGAGCGAGCGGGGAACAAAGUCAAAGGGGACCUAGGGUUGUGUGGUGGCUGGUGCGGGAGUGAGAC
rnacentral:rRNA from 1 species